GUGCACCAGGCGCGAAACCUCCGCAAUACACGAAAGUGUGACGGGGCCAUCCCGAGUGCCGUCCGCUGAGGACGGCUUUUCCCCAGUGUACACAGCUGGGGGAAUAAGGAGAGGGCAAGCCUGGUGUCAGCCGCCGCGGUAAUACCCAGCUCUCCGAGUGGUGGGGACGCUUAUUGGGCCUAAAGCAUCCGUAGCCGGCUGGGCAAGUCCUCCGUUAAAUCCAACGAUUCAAUCGUUGGGCUGCGGGGGAUACAGUCCAGCUUGGGGGCGGGAGAGGCCGACGGUAUUCCCCGGGGUAGGGGUGAAAUCCGUAUAAUCCCGGGAGGACCACCAGUGGCGAAGGCUGUCGGCUAGAACGCGCCCGACGGU
rnacentral:rRNA from 1 species